rnacentral:rRNA from 1 species
GUGAACGCUGACGGUAGGCCUAACACAUGCAAGUCGAACGGCAGCACAGUAAGAGCUUGCUCUUACGGGUGGCGAGUGGCGGACGGGUGAGGAAUACAUCGGAAUCUACUUUUUCGUGGGGGAUAACGUAGGGAAACUUACGCUAAUACCGCAUACGACCUACGGGUGAAAGCAGGGGAUCUUCGGACCUUGCGCGAUUGAAUGAGCCGAUGUCGGAUUAGCUAGUUGGCGGGGUAAAGGCCCACCAAGGCGACGAUCCGUAGCUGGUCUGAGAGGAUGAUCAGCCACACUGGAACUGAGACACGGUCCAGACUCCUACGGGAGGCAGCAGUGGGGAAUAUUGGACAAUGGGCGCAAGCCUGAUCCAGCCAUACCGCGUGGGUGAAGAAGGCCUUCGGGUUGUAAAGCCCUUUUGUUGGGAAAGAAAAGCAGCAGGUUAAUACCCCGCUGUUCUGACGGUACCCAAAGAAUAAGCACCGGCUAACUUCGUG